UAUAUCUGCAAAGGUUGAACUACUAUUCCCAAAGACUUGGAGAGAUCCUGUCUGCGAAGAAUUCUUCCAGCACAUACAGACGGAUGGGGAAGAGAGACCACUAGCAAGACCCUCUGUUGUGUUGUUGUUGCCCUGUGUUGUUUUGCGUUGGUGUUGCCAGGAUCAGACACCCUGUUGCCAUGUUGAGUACUUGAAUCGCGAAUAUCAGUAUGAACAUUGUUGUCUAUCAGCCCAGAAAGAGAUCUUGUUUGAAUAAUUAGGACUUGUGAUUUUACGCUUCUGUUUACCUACGGGCUGUUAUGUCAUUGUGUCAUUUCUUUUUCAACUGGCAAGGCGGCAUUCUGCCCUGUCGCAGUCGGCUUUUCUUGUCAAUAGUUCCUGUGGGUGCUAUGCGCAAACGAGGUCUAUAUACUGUUCUGCAGUGAAGUUAUCAACUCCUGUAUGCACUGUGAAGAACCACUUAAAAACUGUCAGUACAAGGUAAGGUUUUAAUUGCCCCGUUGAAUUGCAAGUUCAGAGGAAUGCCCUGAUCCUCAUUGUGCUCGCUCUUCUCGCUGUGUUGCCUGCUCCUGAUCGAUGCUCAUCAUCUUUCCUGGUGGUGGACAAGCCAGCCAGUAAGUAGAGGCACGGAAGUUUGAGGCAUCAGCCAUCUCAACGUGCUCAAGAUAUGUUCACUCAGUCAUUCAUCGAGGAGGAGGAUCUAGAGCUUUCCCUCUACACAGCAAGCAUGAUCAGCCAGCAAUCGGGCAAGAUCCGCACCUUCUCCCUGAUCCGGAAAUCCUGCAAACAACCCCCAGCAUCACCAUAAAGUUCAGGAAAAGAAAGCCUGCAAAAGAGAAGCUCAGGAAAACAUCCACAUCACUCUAAACAGCCAAUGAGGUACUGAUUACAACAGAAUGAGCAAAUGUUCUGAAUGUUUACACAUGAACACGAUGAUCAAUUAACCGUAACCUGAUUAAACAGAGAGGUUUGUGGGAGUUAAGAAGGGCUCAGAUAUGCUUAUGUUUUAUGACAGUGGGCUUCAGAGAUAUUGUGUGGUUUUCAGGCCUGCAGGCAGGCAACAGCGUCCCGAUCUGAGAGUCGCCGAAGGCGUUUUCUGGUUGUACUCCUAGGCGAUCCUGACCUCGGGCAGGUUGUCGAUGGAUGCUGACCUCAGCAGCCGUUUGUGCCGUCGAUCUCGAAAAGGUCAGGGGGCUCCCUGAACUGUGAUGAGUUCACUGCAUUCUUCUGUAUGUGCAAAGAGACAAAAUGCAACUGUAUCUAGCUGCUUGUUAGAAGUAUUCUUGCAUCCCACUAUGCAUGUUUUAUGAUCCAGAUUAGUGAGAUUUAACAGUGAGAGCACGCGUUUGGGGUUUUAAAGAAGAUCAAACUGAAACAAUGGCCUACUGCCGCCCGUGGCGGCCCGCAACGGAACAUCCCAACUGCACCAGACAUACAGAUUCAUCAGUCUUCAGAGCUAGCAACAGCCGGCUAAAAUAUCAUUCUGAGUCUUUAGAGAAGAACAAGAUUGCAGGGUGCAUGAAGCAGAUCGAUCCGAAAGGCACGGAGACAAGUAUAUAUUUUUGGUAUCAUAAUAAUGUGCGCCGAGAGAUUUUCUCGUUCGGACCUUUAUUAAGAAAUUCUUGAUAAUCACAGUUUUUAUGUAUCGGGCAGUAUCUUUCUUGUCCGGAGAAAUUUUCUGCUUAGACAUCAUUAUCUUAGUUUUAACCAAAAUGCUACGGAGGAGGAUGAGGAGAAAGCUGAAGGCCAUGGUGCCAUCCGCCUCUGCCAUCUGAACCAACAAUUCUCAAGAACUAUAGGGUCAGUGUUUCUAAUCUUGUGGGUAUGCCCUUUUUCAUGUGUUGGGUAGCAUCUUGCUUAGCGAAAUUUUCUACUUUGACAUCAUUAUUUAGUUAGUUGUAAACUGAGUACAUGGUAGGUUUUUUAUGUCCUUCUUAUUGUCGGGGAGAUUAUCUUCAGUUACCUCAUCUCUUAGUUGUCAACAUUUCCAUGAAUGUUAGGAGAUGAUUUCUUGUUGACCUCACACUCCUCGCUCUUGCGGACUUGAUUUUCCUCAGACAGCAUUUUCUCAAUUUUCAUAUAUCAAGAAAAUGAUGUGCGUAACUAUGUAUCAAUAUUUUUUUGUCGAUAUAGAUUACAGUUUUACAUGAACGAAAUAACCUCUCUGCUCUUUGCCGACAAUUAUUUGCUUACAUGAUAUUCUCAUGAGUUGGUAAGGGUCAAAGUUUAGUACAGCUACGCCCAUCCCUUUCUUCUUCAAUCAAGGUCGAUGCGUCAGUACAUACUUUGAGGAUGGAUCGAGGAAAGACGGAGGUGACGACCCUUUGCAGCGUGUGCGUGUGGUACUCACUGAGAGUGCGCCGGACCGGAGUGUUACCCACUCCCGCCUAUGUGGCUUGGAUGGGGCAUCCGGCGUUAGAUGUUAGGCUUUUGUGCGAUGUCUGUUUGGUAUUUGGCCCGGAUAUUCGGCACUCCUUCAUCAAGAUGAUAGGAGUAGCGACAUGUGUCGUCUAGAUGGUGGCCUCAGGUUUACUGUUGUAUUACUUUGUAAGGCUGGU